UAAACAGAAGUGAAGAAAUGGGA
rnacentral:piRNA from 1 species